rnacentral:lncRNA from 1 species
CGUGAACAAUAGCGUCGUCGCUAGUUACAAGCUUUUUCGCGAAACGGAUCACCAAAUCAAGCAAAGAGUGACAAGAAAAAUGUCAGUCUAUAUAAAACACGAUGGCCAAAUAUUUGCAAGGAACUUCGUUCGUAAGGCACCGCUUUUUUCUCGGCCAUAUUUCUUUUUAAAUGCAAUGUCUACUAUAAACGCACGCACGCACACAAACACACACUCACACGCACACACACACACACACACACACACACAAGUGUUUUCCUAGUUUAGCGUCUGAAAUUAAUUUUUAUUUUUUAAUAGAAAAUAGUGCGUCAGAUUAAUCUUUCUUCAAAUGCGUUUCCACCGUCACCAUCCUACCUGUUUUACUGCAUUCCAAUUGUGACCACCCAGUCUUUUUUAAAGCGUUUCAAACGUGACCACCUCGUCUUUUUUUAAAGCCCAAAUCUCCUUUACGUCACACCCUUACUAUCUUUUAUUUUAUCUAAUUUUUGUUUAAAGUAUUUAAAGGAUACAUUUAAUAAUGUAAUCCGGGAUAUGUUAUGUCAAAAUUAAAAAUAAGGAUGAAAUCAUCAUGAACGGAAUGAUUUUGAUUAUCGGCUUGCUGGAUUGGGAGUUGACUCGGGGUUAGACAACAACAGUUAACGUCAGAUUCGUGUGUGAGUAUGUGUAUGAGUGUGUGUAUGUGUGUGUGCGUGUGAAUGUGUGUGUGUGUGCGUGAGAGAGAGAGAGAGAGAGAGAGAGAGAGAGAGAGAGAGAGAGAGGGAAGGAGAGAGAGAGGAAAGAGAGAGAGAGAGAAACUAUGUAUACGCGCGCAUGAGUGCAGGCAUAGCUGUAUGGUGAAAAAGCUCGCGGAUCUUUUCGGUUUGAACAGCAGUUUUUUCUAGCGGUGUCAUAUGAAAUUGUCAACCAUAAUUAUGACCCUAGUAUCGAUCUAUUGCAUUUCAAUCUGUUUUAGGGUUAGGGUUAGGGGUGGGUGGAAAGGUAUCUUUUUUUCUUCAGAAAUGUAAAUAAACCCAAUCUUUUUCUUAAACGAGGGACAUAUUCAUACGGCACGGAAUGUUUUCACCUCAAUAGAUGUCAUUGAUUGGUUGAAAUUGCGGAAAUUGAAGAAAAAACAACAACAAAUAUCUUACAAACCAUAGAAUUUUCUCAAUAAAGCCAAGAGAAAAAGAUGUUUUAUAAACACAAUCUACCAGUAUACGAAGUUUAAAAGUGUUUAGUUACGUGGAAAUUAUUUUUAAAAACUGCCGUUCAAACCGAAAAGAUCCGCGCGCUUGUGUGCAGGCAUAGCUGUAUGGUGAAAAAGCUCGCUUUGCUAUUACAUAAUUUCAGGUUGUGUCCCGCUGCGCGGCACGUUGCGCGGCACCUUGCGCGGCACCUUGCGCAAGUGUUUUUUACACUUGCCUCCGGCUGACCAAUACCCUUGCAAUUGAAUUUGAUAAAUGAAAACUAUGUAGAAGCACCCCACUCUCUCGCCUUCUGUCUCUCUCUCUCCCUUUCACUCCUUUCCCCUUCUCGCAUCUCUCUCUCUAUAUAUAUAUAUAUGUGAGUGUGUGUGUAUAUAUAUAUAUGUAUGCGUAUGUCUGUCCUUGUGUUAGUUUUGUGUUUGUCUCCCAGCACUGCUUAACAAUCGAUAUUGGUUUGUUUAUAUCCCUGUCUCUAAGUGGUUCGGCAAAAGAGACCAACAGAAUGGUUGGUACUAAUUCUAUCGGUUUCUUUUGCAAAACCGCUAGAUCUUGGGGAUGUAAACAAACCGACACCAGUCGUGAAGCGAUGGUGGGAGCCAAACACAAAUGCAAGGACUUUAUGUCUUUGUUUAUCCUCCACUGCCGCUUGAUAACCGGUGUUGCUGUGUUUACAUCCCCGUAACUUAGUGGUUCGGCAACAUUUCGAUAAAAUAACAGGCUUAACAAAAGAAAAAAUAUAUAAGUACUAGGCUUAAUUCCUUCGACUAAAAAUUCUUCAAGGCGGUGCCCCAGCAUGGCUGCAGUCUAAUGACAGAAACAAGUAAAUACACACACACACAUACACAUAUAGAUAUGUAUGUAUGUAUGUAUGUAUGUAUGUAUGUAUGCAUGUAUGUAUGCAUGUAUGUAUGCAUGUAUGUAUGUAUGUAUGUAUGUAUGUAUGUAUGUAUGUAUGUAUGUAUGUAUGUAUGUCAGGUCACUUUCGAGUGCUACUGGUAACAUGUAACCCAGUACAACCUGUUGCCUGAUCGGGUCGUCAGCGACUAAACCGGCAACCCCACCAAGCUUGCUUGGUGAGGAGGGUGUUUAUUGGACACCCUGCGGGAUGAAAAACAAAACCCGUCAAAGGGCGGAGGAACUCUUGAGAGUCAACGGCCAUCCAAUAAAUGUCUUAAGGCUGUAUCAUGCGCGGGGACAUAGAAAUAAUCGGACUGAAUACCUGAUCACGCUGUUAAACCAUUGGGAGUGAAGGACUCCUAGCCUUUGUUAGGGCAUCUUUCUAGGAGAAGGUAACUCAGGUAACUGGGAUAACUCCGACAUAAAACCUGCGGCUCAGUGGUUACCGAUGAUGUUGACUUGUUCUUUUCGGAUUAUGGCUGCUGUUGCUUAGUGAGUGGAAUUGACUCAGUGCACAGCAGCCUUUCUUCACUUAAAAAAAAAUCUUCUUGCACAGGCAUUGCACGAUAGCAACAUUGAUUAAGCUUCGUGCAAUGGCCAUACUCGAUAGCGAGGGGGCAGCCAUCAUGUAUGAGAUACUCGAAGUAUUGAAAGAUUUCACCAAGUGUUUAAGGCAUAUAUAAAGUGUCAGUUGGAAGGGUCACUGCUUCUGUAGCCGAACGGAACAAAACCAUGAAGUAUUGGGAUCUGACAGUGAACUAUCUUUUCCAACCUGUGGUGGUUGAGACAUUUGGAGGGACUGGGUCACUAACGACGACAUUCUCGUCAACAUUGGCAAUUCGCCUCACCGAGGUAUCAGGCUUUCCAAAUGCCUUUGCCUCGCCAUCGCCCAUGGUAAUGCUGCGAGCGUGCUGGCUUGCUCCAGCAGGUUCCGUUGGACCUUGUGGUGUGCGACCAAUUUUCCUUUUUCCUCGCUUUUUCCCCUUUUUUUGUCUUUCUUUUGCAACAACUUAUAUUAUGGAAGAAUCAUGACUAUAACUCUUUUACUCUAUUACUUGUUUCAGUCAUGUGACUGUGGCCAUACUGGAGCACUGCCUUUAGUCGAGAAAAUCGACUCCAGCACUUAUUCUUUGCGAGCCUGGUACUUAUUCUAUCGUUCUUUUUUGUCGAACCGCUAAGUUACGGGGACGUAAACACACCCCCAUCGGUUGUCAAGCGAUGUUGGGGGGACAAACACAGACACACAAACACACACACAUAUAUAUACAUAUAUACAACAAGCUUCUUUCAGUUUCCGUCUACCAAAUCCACUCACAAGGCUUUGGCCGGCCCGAGAGUGUAGUAGAAGACACUUGCCUAAGGUGCCACGCAGUGGGACUGAAGCCAGAACCAUGUGGUUGGUAAGCAAGCUACUUACCACACAGCCACUCCUGUGCCUACUGUUUAGGAUUUGUAUUUUAAUGUGGUUUUGUAUUAUUCAUAUACCAUAUACAUAUGUGUUAUAUAUAUAAUGCUGAUCACCCUGCAGACUGCGAUAGUCAAUAAAAUAGAAUCUCAACCUGACAUAAAAAGUGUUGGAAAAGACGGGCUGUCUGAAGAUCGACGCUCGUCUUAUAAAGUAUCAUAUGUAUUGUGUUGGACAUAUUCAUUUUGAUUAUUCCAGGCUUUAGAAACAAUUAUUCCGCGAUGAAUUAGUUCUCGGUAAGUGUCUCCAGCAUAACUCAAGAAAGAUAUUUCCUGAUUUCACAAAAGACAACUUUAAAUCUUUAAACAUCAUCACUUUUACUUGGGAACAUUCGCACUGAACGAUUAUGAAUGGUGGUUUAAUCGAGGAAGAACUGUCUGUAGUUUGAAAAACAUCGAUUUGUCCCCCAAAUAGUGAAACGUAAUUCCCGAUAAUUGCAGGCUAUUAGUAAUUAUAGGAUUCAGAGGUGAUCUAUUAUUCUUCACUGCCUACAAUCGGUUACACUUUUCAAAGCCAAUCUCUCUUAUAUGAAGGAUCGUAUCAAGGGAAGCAAACAUGGGAUGUAUACUGGCAUUGUUUCACCACUUACAUUGGAGGACUGUCACGUUGUAUUCUCAUCUAAUGCCAGGUUGAAAAUCUAUUCUGGACGAAUGUACAGGGGGGAGUUGGUGGUGACGAUGUCUUUGACAAAAUUCUGUGGGCCAGGUAACCAUCCAAGGGCCCAUGAUUGAGUAACUAAGAAGCCUGUUACAGGUAUAUAUCUGCAAUAAGAAAACGGUUAUGCCCGUAAUCGAAUACACACGCAAGCACGCACGCACGCACGCACGCACGCACGCACGCGCGCGCACACACACACACACACACACACACACACACACACACACACACACACACACACUUUAAAUUUUAUAUGAAAUCCAAUAUAGUAAAACAAAAUGUACACAGAACUGCUCAUGAACUUUAACAACGUAUUUACAGUAAUCCAGACGAUUGUGCAAAUUAAUUCUUGCAUCAAAGCCACAGGGAAAACAUUUUUAGCUCAAAUUAGUAUCCGUAAAGUAUCCAUAUGCCCGCUACAUUGUUUACAUCGUUCUCGCCUGCCUCAGGAGGUCUCCAAUUUUUCAUAGCAUUUUAUUCUUGGCUGUAUAAAAAUCAUUUCAUAUUUCAUCUAUUAUUCAUCAUUGAAUUUUCACCGCUGAAAUUUUCAAUCUUGCAGGCCCAGGAGGCGAAAUUUUUUCCCUACGAGAGUUCCGGACCCCAGUAAUUACCUCAUUUGCAUAUAGCCAAUCAGAACAGAGCUACCGUUAUCCUGUCUUCCUUUCUAGUCAGCACUGUGCAUUCUUUACUUUUUCUCUCUCUAUUGGCAGACAGCAACUUUUCCGUCUGGGUUAAUGUUGUCAUUGAGCAUUGAGAUGGCUGUGAGGUGUGCUAAAAAUAACAGCUAAAUAAGAUUUUUUGGAUAAAUCUUUUAAAUCAAAGUUUAUUUGCCAACAUCCCGCUCAGAGAUUUAAAACUGUUUUUCUCUUUUAAAUUAACAUAAACAUUUAUUUACAUGAAAGAAAAUUACCGGAGAACUGUCAUCUAAUUCUUCUAAAUAUUUCUGUUAAAAAUUGUAAUGUGUUUAUCGCAUGUAACGUGUUGUUUAUUGCAUUUGCAUUAAACACGGGUGGUUGUAAGGUGUGCUAAAAAUAACAGCUAAGUAAGAUUUAUUUACAUGAAAUAAAAUUACGGGAAACAUAACACGUUAUUUACAAAUAUUUUUUCUACUCAAGGCAUAAGGCCCGAAAUUUUAGGAGAGGGGACCAGUCAAUUAGAUCGACCCCAGUACUCAACUGGUAAUUAAAUUUAUCGAUUCCGAAAAAAUGAAAGGCAAAGUCAACCUCGGCGGAGUGCUAUUUUCAGAAUAUUGACAAGAGUAUUUAUAAAACCUUCAAGCAGUUUCCGCACUUUCAUAUUCGUCCAAAACAUUAUCUUUGCACAGGCUAUAGUAAUUCAAACCUACCGAUAACAAGCGGUAUCGAUGAUAUCGGCAUCUGAAUGAGAACACAAUACCAGAUUCGCAUGACAAUCAAAGGUCACCAUUUUGAAUGCCAACAUUUGUUAACUUGACAAGGUGAAGGUGAGCUUUGAUUGGCUGUAAUCAAAUGAGCACUUUACUGGGGUCCGGAAUUCUUGUGGUGGCGGUGAGGGGAAUUCGCAUCCAGAAGAAGUUAUCUUCCUGCCAAUGCUGUUGCUAUCCUCUAGUUUACGUGAUAUUUACUUAUGCAUUGCUUUAUGCUGGUAUGAUGCCUGCUUCUCCUCUACUCUAGCCCCCAACUCUGAAGAUGUUGCCCUCACUUCUGAAUAUGUAUGAAAUGUAUUCAUUACUUUACUGUUUAGCCGAUAUUGUCUGGGCGGGCCAUCCAAUAAAUGUCUUAAGGCAGUAUCAUGCGCGGAGGCAUAGAAAUAAUCGGACUGAAUACCCGAUCGCGCGGUUAAACCAUUGGGAGUGAAGGACUCCUAGCCUUUGUUAGGGCAUCCUUCUAGGAGAAGGUAACUGGGAUAACUCCGACAUAAAACCUGCGGCUCAGUGGUUACCGAUGAUGUUGACUUGUUCUUCUUUUCGGAUUAUGGCUGCUGUUGCUUAGUGAGUGGGAUUGACUCAGCGCACAGCCUUUCCUCACUUUAAAAAAAAUCUUCUUGCACAGGCAUUGCACGAUAAUAACAUUGAUUAAGCUUCGUGCAAUGGCCAUACUUGAUGACGAGGGAGCAGCCACCAUGUAUGUAUGUAUGUAUGUAUGUAUGUAUGUAUGUAUGCACGCAUGCAUUUUUCGGAAAAGAAAAUAAAAGAAAAAAAUUAUAGAUUGCAUUCAAGGGAGAUAACUUAUAAUAAUUUGCCUAGGAAUUGCAACCCUUAAUCAUAAUCCUAAUUUCAGUUGUUCCGUCCAAAUAUGAUUCAACCAAGAUUUGUCUUCUCACCAGCCAUAUAAAAUGGCUACAUCUUCAUUACUAGUACAGAUGCUGGUAAAGUAUGUAAGGUUAAUUUGAUAUGGAUAUAUAGAAACUUAUUUGUGAAGCAAUGAAAGAAUAAAUUAUUCUCUAUUUUGAAACUGUUUGAGGAUACACUAUAUACUCUUUUACUUGUUUCAGUCAUUUGACUGCAGCCAUGCUGGAGCACCGCCUUUAGUCGAGCAAAUCGACCCCAGAACUCAUUCUUUGUAAGCCUAGCACUUAUUCUAUCGGUCUCUUUUUGCCGUAAACACCCCCCCAUCGGUUGUCAAGCGAUGUUGGUGGACAAAGACACACAAACACACACACACACACACACACACACACACACACACACACACACACACACACACACGCUCACACACAUACAUAUAUACGACGGGCUUCUUUCAGUUUCCGUCUACCAAAUCCACUCACAAGGCUUUGGUCGGCUCGAGGUUAUAGUAGAAGACACUUGCCCAAGGUGCCACGCAGUGGGAAUGAACCUGGAACCAUGUGGUUGGUAAGCAAACUACUUACCACACAGCCACUCCUGCAGAGAAUUUUAAUCUCAAACAUGUCCCACACAUUAUGUCUGUACAACAUAACAUGAAACUUGCCAAAGAAGAUGUCUCUCAGACGAUGCUGCAAGCUGAAACAGUACCUGUGAUUGAAGCUGCAAUCACACAUUCUUCAAGGAAAAUUUGGGGCCACUUUUGCUAUCAUUUUCUGUACUUGUUCACUAUCCAGUACCCUGCAACACUGAUGUAAUCACCAGGUCAGUAUGAUAGAAGAUCAAGCACAGCAAAAGUGAAAAACCCCCCCAAAAAAACCUGGACUUUAACAGCUGCCAUGUACAGUAGCAUAAGUAUCUGUCACCAUUAAGCACCAUCUACAUCUUCUGGUAUUGUUGUAACAAGGUUUGCAUUUCUCUAAUAGUCUCCAUCCAAUGUCAUAGUUGGUAGCCUUCUCCUUCAAAAAUAUCAUAUAUGUUUGCCCAGUACAGUGAUGUGCUACUUCUUGUAGAUCCUGAAUAAUGAGUGUGAUUGUGUAUGUAUUUCUUCAAGAAGCUCUUUGUUAGUCUUUAAAUGGAGGAUAUCAUCAAGUGAUGCUUCCUUAGAAAACAGAAUAUGUCAUCAAUUGAUGCUUAAAAAAAUUUACAAAAACAUGGCCAUCAUCAAAGGAAAAUGAAUAUUUUACGGCUCUUUUUUAUAAUGUAAUUGUAAGUUUUGUGUGUGAGUCUAACAAUUAUUAUAGUUUUUGUACUUGUUUAAACUGAAAAUAUGUAUUAAAAUUAUUCUUAAGGAAAAGAGUAAAUUUUGUUUUUUGCCUGUUUUGCACAUAGAUUCAUGCAACCCUUUCCUGUUAUUUAAGGAUUAAUCUGAUAUAGUGCUUUAUACUGGAUGCAUUGUUUGGCCCACUGGACCUGACUUCUACUUCAUAUGCAACACCCAUUGUGUUGCAGCAGCCACUGAGUGGGAAAGUGGUGGUGCCAUUACAAGUGGCUUCAUAUUCUAAGGAUGGGUUUGCAUGAAUGGAUAAGAUUCAUAUUGACUAUGUAUCUGAAAGAAAUUGUAAGCAAGCAUCUAUUAAAUAACUUUUUGUACGUAUGUAUAGGAGAAAAACAUUUAUCAACCAACUUUUGUAUGGCUUUACAUAUAUCGGAACAAACAUUUAGGGAGAAAGGGGUUUUAAACAAAUAACUUUGCUGUGUUGUUUCUUUCUGAUGCAUUUGGGUUGGGUGUGUAAGCAAUCUUAUCUUUAACCCAUUUAGUUUUUGUAAAAGUGACCACUGUAUGAAAAAUUUCCGCCCGAGAUAAUAGAUUCAAGAUCCUUCUGCUCACUUUUUUAAAUAGCUUCUCUAACACUAAAGCUAGAUGGCAGGACCAUGUGUUAAUGUAGGUGAGAUCACUGAGCAGGGGGAAGGCUUGUAGAGGACCAGUGUCCAAAUCUAGUCUCACAUCUAAGUUGGUUUCUAAUGUGAUACAAUGCCUGAAGGACUAUGUCUUACACUGGUGGGAUUAAUUAUUUUUCCUUUCUAGAUACAGCAUAUAUCUUCGGGCUGAAGUUUAUCAGCAUUAAAUAAAUAAAUUUAGAUUUGUUAGAAUUAAAUAAAAAAUAAAUUACACACACACACACACACGGCUUUUUUCACAGUUUUUGUCAACCAAAUUCACUUGCCAGAUUUUGGUCAGCCCAAGAGAAAAAUAGACACUUGCUCAAGGUACCAUGCAGUGAGACUAAACCCAAAACUACACAAUUAUGAAGUGAAUUAUUUACAACACUGCCAUGCUUGUACCUUGACAUUAGAAAAUCUGAAAGGGGGGCAACAAUCCAACCAGCUGAAGAUGAACUUUUUUUUUUUCCAAAAAACUCUAAUAAGGUUUAUAUUUUAUUAUGGAUAUUCAUAGAAUCCAGCCUGUUGAUUACUUCUAGAGUACUGCAAACUUUGUAGUUGCAAUCUGAAGAAAUGUUUUAAAUAAUUAGUAUGUCACACAUUGAUAGGAUUAAUUAUUUUUCAUUUCUAGAUUCAGCAUAUGCAGCUAUCAGUUGUUCAGACUGAAAUUUAUCUGCAUUAAAUAAACAAAUUUAGACUUGUUAAAAUUAAAUAGAAAUAAGUAAUAUUCAAGUAAGGUAGAUACUUUAUUUCAAUGAAAUGUAUUUUCUUUAUCAAUACACAAAUUAACAAUUACAAUGAAUCUUUCAAAAAAAAAAAAAAGAAAAGAAAGAAAAAAGAUAACUAUCUCUUAAUGAUAUAUAUAUAUUCAUAUAUAUAUAUUAGUACAAUUUCUCUUAAAAAAAUAAAUGUAAAAUAUUGUUUUAUAGUGAUAUUGUUGUUUCAAGUUUCUAUUUUAAUUUCAAAUGAAAUACAAGAAUAAUUAUUUAUUGUUGUCUUAUUUUUUGUAAGUGAAUCUCUAAGCUUUGUUCCAUCAUGUCUACAAUUAUAAGUGUUUUAAGAACCCUUCUUCAAAUAUAUUUGUUCUCUUUCAUAUUUACAAAUUUUAUAAACUGGAAAAUAGUCUCUUGUAUUGUUGGGAAAAUUUACUGCUGCAACACACUGAUUUUUGUCAAUUACUUUGUUAUGAAAAUUAGUCCAGACCUGCUCAACAUUGAGUAGUCAAAUAAUUGUAGCAAAGAUAAUUAUUUGUAAAAAAAAUACUUGAUACAAAUAAUUAGAUUCAUAAAAUCAACUUAAGUAAACAAAAAUUUACACAAAUCAGUAUUUAAAAUUUUUUUUAAUUAUUUUUUUUUUUGGUCGGGGUAAGAAUCAGCAUUGGAAUAUAUAAAAUUUCCUUGGAAAUUUUUUAUAUUAUUGUUUUAGUGUCCAUUUUUCAAUGCUUACGUGGUUUGGACCUAUUUUGUCUUUCAAAAUUAUUUUUUUUCUCAAAUCAAUAUUGAUUUUUAAAAUUUACUAGUAAAUUUAUAAACAACCAUUUUUAAAUUUUUCAACAGCUAAUUCUUUCUACCAAAGACACAAGGCCUGAAAUUUUGGGAGAGGUGCUAGUUGAUUACAUCAGUCCCAGUGCUUGACUGGUACUUAUUUUAUUGGCCCCAAAAGGACGAAAGGCAAAGUCAACCUUGGUGUAAUUUGAACAUAAAAUAGGAAGAAAUGUUGCUAAGCAUUUAGUCCUGUGUGCUUACAAUUUUGCCAGCUAGCCACCUUCUUCUCAAGCAGUAAUAUAGACAAUACUUUGUGUACGAGUAUGUACGUAUAUAUUAGUUUAUGAGUGAGUUCAUGUGUAUAUAUGCAUAUAUAUAUGUCUGUGUGUUCAUAUAUAUGUGCAUUUAUAUGAAGAUUAAGGA